UACGUAGGUGGCAAGCGUUGUCCGGAAUUGUUGGGCGUAAAGCGCGCGCAGGCGGUCCUUUAAGUCUGAUGUGAAAGCCCACGGCUCAACCGUGGAGGGUCAUUGGAAACUGGGGGACUUGAGUGCAGAAGAGGAAAGCGGAAUUCCACGUGUAGCGGUGAAAUGCGUAGAGAUGUGGAGGAACACCAGUGGCGAAGGCGGCUUUCUGGUCUGUAACUGACGCUGAGGCGCGAAAGCGUGGGGAGCAAACAGG
rnacentral:rRNA from 1 species